AACUUACAGAAAGAGUUGAACCGAUACAUACCCACAGCUGCAGCUUUUGGAGGGAUCUGCAUUGGUGCUUUGACAGUGUUGGCAGAUUUCAUGGGGGCAAUUGGUUCAGGGACAGGGAUUCUCCUUGCGGUCACAAUAAUUUAUCAGUACUUUGAAACCUUUGAGAAAGAGAGAGCCAGUGAACUUGGCUUCUUUGGCUUCUAAGCUUACAUCUUGUUUAGAGAGAUGAUGGAUGGUGGUGCCGGUGAGCUCCCCAGCAAUUUUGGCGAGCUGAGGGAUGUAUGUAGGUCCAUUUGACGCCAAAGGUAUAAGUUAGAUUUUAGCAUAGUUCAUUAGAAGCUGAAGUACAGAUAUGCAUUGCCUCUCUUCCCCGCUUCCUUUAUUUCUUGCAAUACUGACUCUCUUGUAUCAAUGGAUAUGCGGUGACCUUGCGGUAUUUGAUUUUCUAAUGUUUCCCAGUUGAGAACUUUGAAAUCAGAUGAAAAUUUCUGGGUCCUAUUGAUCUGUAAUUUUAUUGGAAUUU
rnacentral:lncRNA from 1 species